GGAGGGAGACUCCUGAGGGGAAACGGCUGAGGCCACAGCCCUUCUCCCUGUGUGUCCAUAGCCACCUGUCUGUGGCCUCCGGUGCUCACAGUCCUCUGUCAAAACCUCUCUCCGUUCAAACACUAUCCCUGCCCCCCCCCGCCGCCACCAGCGUCCCCACAAAAUAAAGCAAGGGAAGGAGGCUGCUGGUGGCGGUGGUGAGGCUGUUUCUGGGGGCUAUGUAGCCUGCAGCCCCUCGUACGGGGGGUGCCGGGUCUGUGGCAGCCCCCAACAACUUGAACGAACCCAUGGGGUACACUCCUGCGACUAACGGGAGGGACUGCAAGGCCGACAGCUCUACACGCAGUGCCAAGCAUCAUCAGGGGACAUAUCAAUUCAUAGCAGCUCAUUAGUGGCAAUGGCAAUGUGAGGCCACGAGGCUUUUUCCAGAUUUCCAAUUUGAAUGCACCCAGCAGCCUAAAGGAGGAGGAAAAAACACAUGCAGCAAGGAGACUUGCAAACAGCCCCAGAGGAAGGUGGAGGCAGAGGAGAAUCUUUUGAUUCCUAGCAUAGUGCUUUGUCCUAUCCAGGACUGUGUAGCCAGUUUGUACUGCCCAAUAUUGAAGUACGUUGUGAGAAAUUAUUUCAUUUCCUGACUCUGCAAGUGUAACAGAGGGCUGCUGGCAGUGGUGAAUUAGAAGUGAAAUUAAAACUUUCCAGCUCAACAAACACUGUGAAAUAUUUUUUUCCAUGCUUGAAUGGCUGUCCAGUUUUAUUGUUUAUUACUUAUUAUUAUCUUAGAAAAUAAUGGAGUCUCAAUAAAAAUUAAAUACUUUGAUCUUUCUUCCCUUUGGCUUUGAGAAUUUCAGAAAUUGUCUUCUGAUUCAAAAUGAAGCCACACUUGAAGAUAUCAGGCUCUGCAUUGAGCUGGAAGAUGCAGCCCCAGCAGCCCCGUUUUGCAGUUCAAAUUCAGUGCACUGAGUGGCUUUGCCUGGGAUCUACUCCAUAGCUCAAGCACAAAUAAGAGAAGGUGCCUUCAAUCUUGCACUCACAGUGCAAGUCUGA